rnacentral:rRNA from 1 species
GAUGAACGCUGGCGGCGUGCCUAAUACAUGCAAGUCGAGCGAACAGACGAGGAGCUUGCUCCUCUGACGUUAGCGGCGGACGGGUGAGUAACACGUGGAUAACCUACCUAUAAGACUGGGAUAACUUCGGGAAACCGGAGCUAAUACCGGAUAAUAUAUUGAACCGCAUGGGUCAAUAGUGAAAGACGGUUUUGCUGUCACUUAUAGAUGGAUCCGCGCCGCAUUAGCUAGUUGGUAAGGUAACGGCUUACCAAGGCAACGAUGCGUAGCCGACCUGAGAGGGUGAUCGGCCACACUGGAACUGAGACACGGUCCAGACUCCUACGGGAGGCAGCAGUAGGGAAUCUUCCGCAAUGGGCGAAAGCCUGACGGAGCAACGCCGCGUGAGUGAUGAAGGUCUUCGGAUCGUAAAACUCUGUUAUUAGGGAAGAACAAAUGUGUAAGUAACUAUGCACGUCUUGACGGUACCUAAUCAGAAAGCCACGGCUAACUACGUG